rnacentral:rRNA from 1 species
AACGAACGCUGGCGGCAGGCUUAAUACAUGCAAGUCGAACGGGCGCAGCAAUGCGUCAGUGGCAGACGGGUGAGUAACACGUGGGAACCUUCCUCGUUGUACGGAACAACUCAGGGAAACUUGAGCUAAUACCGUAUAAGUCCGAGAGGAGAAAGAUUUAUCGCAAUGAGACGGGCCCGCGUCGGAUUAGGUAGUUGGUGAGGUAACGGCUCACCAAGCCAACGAUCCGUAGCUGAUCUGAGAGGAUGAUCAGCCACACUGGGACUGAGACACGGCCCAGACUCCUACGGGAGGCAGCAGUAGGGAAUCUUGGACAAUGGGCGCAAGCCUGAUCCAGCCAUGCCGCGUGAGUGAAGAAGGCCU